AUCACAAGAUCAUCACAGACAAUUCCAGAGAAGUGGUUUUACACGAGCCAGAUGAUGUUGUGCACUGCCCACAUCUCCUAGGAUUUCUUUUACUGGUUUGAUGAGCCCACAUCUUCAACCUUUUCCAGCAAGUUCUUGGGAGACUGGAUCUGCCUUCCCACCCCAAGGAGGUAGGCCUACUGAGCCAUCUACUAUUUGUAAUUUGCUACCUAUGCAUCUGGAACUGUGCUGUGAGUCAGAAGAAUCCAGAGAA
rnacentral:lncRNA from 12 species